UAUGUAUUUAAUAAUAAAUGUAGAUGCUAUGUCACAUGUGUGUCAGUAGGUGGCAGAGAGGACAGAGGCUAUGUUUAUACUCUAUGUUCUUCCCUGUGAACAUCUAAAUGAUUAAUAGCCUAACAUU